rfam:Arenimonas composti TR7-09 = DSM 18010 strain TR7-09 contig3_scaffold1, whole genome shotgun sequence.
CUCCGCCUGGAUGGCGGCGGGCAUGACCUCGCGCGCGCGCCGACCGGAAGCCCACAUCCACGCUGGGUAACCGGACGCGUCCUG